rnacentral:tRNA from 1 species
GGUUUGAUAGUCAAAAAUGAUUUUAAAUUGCAAAUUUAAAGGUAGGUUCAUAAUCUUUAAGCCU